UUCUGGAGAAGGCUACCACUUGACACUAAAUGGGUGACUCCUGAAGGUCGUUGUGCCUAAUGAUCCUGACAGCUUUUAGAAGCAUCACAAAGGAACUGGGGAGAUGUAUGAAGGUUAAGAGCACUUAUUCUUGUAGAGGACUGGGGUUCAGAUCCUGUCACUCACAUGGUAGCUCACAGCUAUCAGUAACUUAAGUUUCAGAGGAUCCAAGGACCUCUUCUGACAACUGGGGGCAGUAGGCACAUGGAGCACAUGCAAGCAUAAUACUCAAACUUAAAACACUCAAAUUUUAAAAUAUUUAUCCAGCUGCCAUUAUUUAGAAAGAAAAAAAAGAAAGAGUAUCUCAAAUAUUUUAAGAAGAAUUCUGAGUAAAAAAGAUACAGUUUCCCCAUCCCUGCUGUAAAUGAAAUGUGUGAGAGUUGACCUAAAACUUCGCCUAUGCUGACUUUGAUCCAAGUGAAUAAAGAGUGUCUCUAUUCGUUUGAAUUAGAAUUAUGACAGAGCAAAUAUUAAAAAGGGUAAAUGGCCGGGCGGUGGUGGCACACGCCUUUAAUCCCAGCACUUGGGAGGCAGAGGCAGGUGGAUUUCUGAGUUCGAGGCCAGCCUGGUCUACAGAGUGAGUUCCAGGACAGCCAGUGCUAUACAGAGAAACCCUGUCUCAAAAAACCAAAAAAUAAAAAAAAUAAAAAGGGUAAAUGAAGAACAAUGUUCCCUCAAAAGAAAAUGUUAGAAUAACUGCAGAAUAAUCCCAUGAGAAUGGCAGGACGCCUUCAGUGUCUCCAAUAAGAGCAGGCCAGGUGUUUCCAUGACUGACCGUCACAUUUUAUGCCAUUUUAUAUGCAUUUUUUUAGAAGUUUAUGAAAUAAAUUGUAAAAGUUACCACUGAAAUCCAAGUACUGUAAUCUUAUAAAAUUGAUUAUUCUUUUUAAAUUGAUAAUAUACUUGUUUACAAAUUAAGAUACAUUUCUGAUCUGCUUGUUCUUGGGAUUAUCUUCCAUUAAAUCACUUCUAUUGGCAAAAAAAAAAAAAAGAGACAAUGAUGGAUGGGUGGAUGAAUAGAUAGAUAGAUAGAUAGAUAGAUCAAUAGAUAGAUAGGUUGGAUGGGUGUAUGUUAGGUUACCUUUCCCAGAAGCAGGCAUUGGAUGACCAAAAUUUGCACCCCAAGGCAGGAACCAGAGCACCAGAUCUUGUCCUCAGACUGCUGGUGGAUAAAGAUAGAAGACCUUACAAGCUUCGUUAAUGACCUGAGGAAGGUCCAAGUCUGAAGAGCCAGUGGACUUGUAUGAAGCACAUGUCCUUCUCGGGUACUGAAGGAAUUGCUCACUUCAGAAUCCACCACGGUACAAGCCCAAGUUAUGCCCUUACUUGUGCAGCUUCCAGAACGUUCCCAAGCUGCCUCUGUGGCCGAUAGAUCACUGGUGCAGCCCUGCAUACCUCAUGGCAACAAUUUAGUGGCAGCCUUACACAUUUGAUGAGGCUAACUGCUUUGUAUGCUUUCUAUAAUGUGUACAGGGAUUAGAACCAUUGUCUAGCUUAUUAAAUGGUUUUAAUAAAAAAGAAAAAAAUAAGUCUGCCUACUAAAUUUUACCUAAUUGAAAUGAUAAUGGGUGGCAAGUGCUUUGGAAUUCCAGUAAAAAAAGCAGCAGAGUAGUAAUGGAGUCAUGACACAGAAGUAAUGAAACUAAAGAGUUUGCAUAAUCAGACUCUCAGUGUCCACAUACGACCGUCGAAAUCACUAAGCCUACUGCAGUGUGUUGUUGUGGGUGUUAUAGUCAGAAGUACAACCUUUGCCAAAAGCUUUUGGAGCUUGUCACUAUGCAUGGUCUGCCUGUGUCACAUGGGCCUGAAGUUGUCAGUUCUACAAAGUCUUCAGGCUGGCUGCUCAUCCUCAACCCCAGAUGGAGAUUGUGGCACUGAUUACAAAGUUAUCUAGAAACCAUGUCAAGAAAUAAGAAGUGAUUUUAGUUUAUACUUCUAAAUAUCAGAUAUUCUACCAUGACUGUGAAUUAUUCAAGCAAAAAAAAAAAAAUACAUGAAAGAGCUGGCUUCAUUUGGUUUUAAAUGACAUGGAACCAGAUAGGUUAAAUAACUACAGGUGCUCUUGUAUAGUGGAAAAUUGUCCGAUCUGCACCAGACUUAGAUUUCCUGGUAGAAUUAGAAAAUAAUUUUAUGUAUAGUCAUAAUUUAAACCCAAACACUAGUUAAAACAAUUACUAAUUUGAGACUGAAAUGGCGUCUAUUAAUAGCAGAUUCCAUGUUGUGGAGCACUGAACUCAUAACCCAGAUGAUGGAGAAAAGUAAGCCCGGACCUGCUUCCUUCUUCUUCUUUCUUUUCCCCGUGAACUCCAGGUCUUGUUGAGAGACCCCGUGCUUACCAACCUCUACAGAUUGGAUCACAUGUUUACUACAGUGAUUCUCGCUUACUCUGUCAAUACAAACAGUUGGAAUGAAGUUCCACAAAGAUGGGGCCGUUGUUGUUGUUGAUUGAUGUCACCUAAACAGAGAAAUGUUUUGUGCGAUUGUUAAUAUUGAUGAAUGAAUUGAUAGGGGAGAAGAGAACAGUGUACUUUUAAGAAUCAUUGUGUCUGAGAAGGUCUGUGUUGCUCUUGAGAAAGAAUGUCACCACCAUGUCUCAAGUAGCAUAGUUGAGUUUUGCUUUGUUUGUUUCUAACAAUUUCUAGAUAAUGUUCUGUAUUGGUUACUCUUCUCAUUAUGACAAAAGAUCUGCAAACGCAACAUAACAGAGCUUGAAAGAUGGCUGAGUUGAUGAAGUACUGCCUGAGCAAACAUGAGGACGGGAGUUCAUCUCCAGCACCCAUGUAAAAUGCUAACUGCUGGUAACCUCAGCACUUGGGGGAAAUAGAUACAGACAGGUAGAUCAAUGGCCUGCUGGCCAGGAAGUCUUUCCAAUGGUGAACUCCAGGUCUUGUUGAGAGACCCUAUCUCAGAAAGUAAGGCUGAGACCCAAAGUGAUGGGCACCCAAUGUCAACCUCUGGCCUCUGUAUGCACAUGCAUAGGUGUAUGUACAUGUACACUCAUACACCAGUGUACACACACACACACACACACACACACACAGGUCAACUUAAGGAAACAGUGUUUAUUUUGACUUCUACUUUGAAAGAAUCGUGUCCGUCAUGGUAAGGAAGUCUGGGCAAGACCAUGGAUCACAUUUUACCCAUAGUCAGGAGUUUGAUGCUGGUGCGCAGCUCAGGAGAUGGUGCCCUCCCCAUGUAGGUUCAGUCUUCCUCAGCAGUUAAGUUGCUCUAGAAAUACCCUCAAAGACGCACCAAAAAGAGGAUCUUUGUGGUGAUUCUAAACUCCAAUCCAGCAGACACUCUAGAUCCAAUAUUACAAACUUAUCAACUUGAUACUCAGACACAUCAUUUUAAAUCAUAACAUCCCAUCCCAAACCCCUAAGAUCCCAUCUUCAUUUCAUGAUAUAGAAUACAUAUAUCCCAUCUCUAAAAGUCCCUGUAGUCUUUAACAGUCCCAACACUUUUAACCUUGAAUCCCUAUAAACCAAACUAUAUACUUCCAAUAUAAAAUUGCACAGACGAAGCAUCCUAAUUCCAAACUGAGAAAGUAAUAAAGGGAAAAAUACCACAUCACGCAUCUAGACUGUAUGAUGAGAUUAUCUGAGCCCCAAUAGCUUUGGACAGCCCUUCCUCAUCUAGCUUAUCCAUGCAUAGCACCUGGGACCUCUCUUAGGGGCCAGCUCCAAUAUAUGCCUUCCCACUGUGGGCAUUCAUGGGUCCAGCAUCUAUAACCUCCUGGGGUCUCCAAGGUAACUUAGAUUUCACCUUUGUUGCUUUACACAAUGGCUUUUCAGGGUCAUCUUUAAAAAAGAUUCCAAUCCUGCCAUGCAUUCCCUGGACUCAGCAACUUCCUUGCUGCAAGCCUCCAUGAGCUCGUUCCUCUUGCAUGUGUGAAAAACUAGCAGCAGGUAGAUGGCUCUGCUGUGUUCUGACACUCCAGACACAGUUUGGCUCCCUCCAUCACAGCUACAAUGACCUCUGCUUCUGGGCAGCUGCUCCUAGGAAAACACUUCCUAGGCUGUUCUUCUCCAGGAAGAAACCCUUUCACUGACGUCUCACUUCAGUCCUCCAUCCUACAAAUGAAUUUUCAGUUUUGAAAGUUGGAGCCUUAAUGGAUAUAUGUUACUCAAAUUUACUUUCAAAAUAAAUUGCAUCUAUAGCAGAUCUACUCUUAAGAUAAUCCAUUAACUCAUUAAGCCAGAAAUGGAAUCAUCAAUUUAUGAGGGCACAUUCCCCCAAGAUCCAAAUACUCUCCUGCCAUCUCUCAAUAGCUCUCUAUAGGUAUUAAGUUUCACAUGAAUUUUGGUAGAGGGAUUCAAAUACAUAGAACUUAUCUUUCAUGACUAAAUAAUAUUUUUCACCCCUAAGUUUCUGAUCAUUAAAGCUUCAUGAUAACAAUUACUUUCUCAGGAAGUAACCUGAUUAUUCUUGAAUCUUCUUGAAUGUUGGCCUAAAUGUUCUUAACCCCCACUAAAUGGAUUACUAAGCGCUAAAACUGGAGUCCUCUCCCUCCUCUUCAUGUUACUAUGGAGACAUGACCUUCUCAUUCUUUCUCAGACAGAAUCUCCUCAGUAGCAGUGGUCUCCAAGGAAGGUUUUGAUUGGGUGAAGCAUGUUGCUGGGAGUCAUCUGGAGGAGCUAGCAUGGGCAAAAGAAGCUGGUGCCACCUCAAGCUCAGGAUCAAAACAUGCUACAGGGCAAUGUGCCUGUAGUGCAUUCAAGUAAUAACUUGAUCGGAAACACCAACACUGGAAAAUGGAUUUAAACAUUCCCCCUGGGAGUCUGAGCUUUGACCCGAGAAGACGCUUGGCUAUCCUAAUCCACUCCUAAUUUUUUAUUUUAAUAUCAGAACAAGAUGUAGAACUCUCAGUUCCACCGGCACCAUGCCUGCCUG